AAAAAGAUAAGCUAAUUAAGCUUUUGGGUUCAUACCCCAAAUAUAAAGUAAAACUUUUCUUUUUA
rnacentral:tRNA from 1 species